GGAGGGAUUCCCGAGCGGCCAAAGGGGGCAGACUGUAAAUCUGUUGGCUCAGCCUUCGAAGGUUCGAAUCCUUCUCCCUCCACCAUUC
rnacentral:tRNA from 1 species